GCGCAUUCUGUAAACGGCAGUUCGUCGGCGCCAUGUGGAAUGGCUUGCUUCAAGCAUGGGGCAUGCGAUAGCCGUAGUGCGUAUGAGUCACGUUUCCACCUUUUCUUUGUGUGUGUGUGUGGACUUUACCUGUGAAGUUUACCUAGACUUAUGGUACUGCGCACCACAAACAACGUCGCCUGACGUUGGAGGACCAUGGCAAGCUCCGUCUUUGGCAUAAAAUUGCGUGCCAACCUGUGAGUCUGGUGCAUCUAAUGGACAACCUCUUCGGUCCUCGGCAUACCUCGUGCAGCCUUCAUAAUCCUCCUCAAGCCUCCUUCAUAAAAGUGUUGGAUCCCCCGAUUUGCGGUCUGCAGUGACAUGCUCCUCGACCUUCAUUAUCAUACGGUGGAUUAUGAAUGGAAACGUGUGGUCAAAAAUGAGUCGUCCUCGGGUUCCUGCCUCAUGCUCGCCUUCUGGGGAAUGCAUCAUGCAGCAAAGCCCAUCAAUGUGGCCUGUUCUUCUGCCUUCACUUCUUUAAGGGACUGCCUUCUGUGUAGCUGCUCCUCACUGCCCUGUGACGAAUGGUGGACGAAGAUUGCGCGACGGUCUGUAUCUCACCUUGCCUUUUUGAGACAUGCCAACCAUCUCCGGAUCCACCCUGAGGCCGAUGAAAUGCUGCGAAAACUCCUCAGGUCAGAGUACGUCAGUGUUAUCGUACGUUGAUGGGCUAAUCUCAAUGCUUACAGAUAAUACCGCAUCUGCAAAUGCUAUGCUGAUCAGCCACUAAACAGAGAACCGUGUUUUUAGUGACUGCCAUAAUGUUGGACACAUUUGGUAAAUUAUCACAAGCGUAACGUUUCAUGCAUCGUUUUUCAUGCUUGUAUCUCACCACCAAAUACGACUGCAGUGAAAUCGUUGAACCCAUUUGCACGUAUUCCUUAGCCAUAAUAGAGGCGUUUUACGUUGUUAUGUAGGGGCAUAUUGAUGCUCUUUUGCUUUCAACUGCAUGGAAUGCUGCGCAACUUGGCUAAAUCAAUCUAUCGAUCUGUGUAACUGGGAUGCUUCCUUCAUGUGCGCACGCGUUUGCACGUGUUCUUGCCCAUCUUACGCUCUUCCAUUUCUCACAUUCACUACUGAAACCGGUGCUCCUUCUAUUUGUUCAUGAGAUUAUUGUGCAGACGCGCUUGGCAGGUUCUACUUUGUCCAAUGAAGCGAUUCAGCUGAAGCAUCGUUACGUGUGGGUAAUAUACUUCAUUUCUUCAGAAGCAGUUUUCUUGUAGUAUCCUGGUUAGAG